GCCCAGCCCCGCCUGCGCCCGGGUCAGGCGGCAGCGGGCGGGGCCCGAGGGCCGCGGCUCCGGCGUCACCCGGAGCUGGGUGGCCUGAGCUCCGGGAGGAGCUGUAUCAAUUAAUAGCACCAAAUCCUCCAACAUCUGCCAACAUUGUUUUGUGGGAGCAGAGCUUGCGAGGUCCGGAAGUUGAUGAGGGGUGCAGCAGUGUCAGAAGCAAGGCAGGGAUGAGCUGGACGGGUUUUUUUGAAGGGGGUCCAAGGCUACACAGAAGAUUAAAAAUGCAAGAUUGAAAGUGCAGAGUCCUAUUUAGCACGGUUAUAGAAAAUACUAGAUUAAAAACAUUUGGUUGUGUCAAUUUCCUCUCAUCUUAUGUUUAAGGUGUGUCUGUCCUUGGAUAAAUUUCACAGUCUAUUUGGGGUCCCACUGUGUGUGUGCUAGAUGAAUUAGAUUUUUUUUUCCCUCAGGUGGGAAGUGGAUAGCUUUUCCAAAAGCUCUGUACUUAGAGACUGUGUGUUUAACUAGGUGGCAUAUCUGUCCUGUAAUUACAUCCGUUUUCUCCACCUAGGAAAAAAAAAUUGAAGGAGUCGUAUAUCUCUAUUUGUUUUGAAAUACAAGCUUCUCAAAUUGAUGGGCAGGAAUUCAACCAGAGUGAUUGUAGUUAUCCACUGAGUAAACUCAAACAGCAGUCGGGCUCUGCCUGAUUCUGUACAUAACACUCUGUGAAUGUGAAAAUCAGUUCUUCUAGUUCCCAAGUGCAGGUGCUGAGACAACCCAUGGCCUUCUCAAUAUCAGGACAAGUCCUGUGCAUGUGUCUUCUGUCUCUUGCUCCUUUGGUUACCCUUUGGUUCAGUGGGAUGCUUGGUGGAUCAACAUCUUGAGCAUGCAAUGAUGUUCAUCCCAAAGUGCCUCCAUACCCACAGCAGAACAAAACAUUCUCACAGUACUGUGAGAAUACUGAGGGUUCAGCUGACACUACAUAAACACUUCCAAACUGUUUAUGGAUCAAACAGAACAAAGUGGAUAUUUCUUAAACAAAGUGUUUUGUAGAAACUCUGAUCUUUGGUAAAUAAAUCUUGAACGGGAAAAUGGAUGUAGACUUCAGUUUACAUAUGUGUGGUUUUAACUUUAUUAUUAAGUCCAUUUAUCUGAAGGCAUGUGUAAACCUUUGAAAAAUGAAAUCCUGCAUUUGUAAAAUAUGUCAUUCACAAGGUCUGUUCACCAUCAAAUGCAAUAAUUUUAGCCUUGUUGUUCUUAUCCUUUCAGUUUGCAGACAAAAUA